rnacentral:rRNA from 1 species
UACGGAGGGUGCGAGCGUUGUCCGGAAUCACUGGGCGUAAAGGGCGCGUAGGCGGCAUGCCAAGCGUGUGGUGAAAGCCCGGGGCUCAACCCCGGGUCGGCCGUGCGGACUGGCGUGCUCGAGCACUGUAGGGGCGGGUGGAAUUCCGGGUGGUAGCGGUGGAAUGCGUAGAGGAUCCGGAAGAACACCGGUGGCGAAGGCGGCCCGCUGGGCAGGAAGACGACCGCCAAGGUGGUCGG